CUGAGUCACCAGAGAGGCCAAUCCCAAUAUCUAGUCUCAAUUUAGGAAGCCAGUUGGCUACAGCUGGGGACUUUUGCUCCCAUCUGGACCAUGGGACUUUCCAAGUGACACAUUGCCCACAAGGAUGUAGACCUGAAGGAUACAUAAGCAAGAGCAUCUAAAUAAAAGGAUUCCAUAAAACCUGAAAGAAUUCCCUACCUCAACAUGUGACUCACCUUCUAAUCUGGAUGAUAACAGCUAGUCUUCAUGCAGACUGAAGCAGUUAAGAACGGAUGUUUCUCCUCUGACGGCCUUGGAAGUCAGAAGCCAUUUGGUGCGGCUACAAGAUGGAAGAGAGUUGCUUAACGUACAUCAAUGGCACAAAAGUGAGAAAUAAACAUUUACUGUGUUAAGCCA
ensembl:lncRNA